CGAAUAGUCGUUGGCAAGGGUGCCCCGCGUGGUCUCCGCCUGAGGCGGAGGCCGGGGUUAAAAGCGAAGCCGGUGUGAGACCGGCGCUGUCCCGCAACUGUGACCCCGACGUAUCGGGGGAGUCAGGUCGCCUGCCCUUCCUUGUCAGAUGCA
rnacentral:ncRNA from 2 species